rnacentral:rRNA from 1 species
UGGGGAAUUUUGGACAAUGGGCGAAAGCCUGAUCCAGCAAUGCCGCGUGUGUGAAGAAGGCCUUCGGGUUGUAAAGCACUUUUGUCCGGAAAGAAAUCCUUGGCUCUAAUACAGUCGGGGGAUGACGGUACCGGAAGAAUAAGCACCGGCUAACUACGUGCCAGCAGCCGCGGUAAUACGUAGGGUGCAAGCGUUAAUCGGAAUUACUGGGCGUAAAGCGUGCGCAGGCGGUUUGCUAAGACCGAUGUGAAAUCCCCGGGCUCAACCUGGGAACUGCAUUGGUGACUGGCAGGCUAGAGUAUGGCAGAGGGGGGUAGAAUUCCACGUGUAGCAGUGAAAUGCGUAGAGAUGUGGAGGAAUACCGAUGGCGAAGGCAGCCCCCUGGGCAAUACUGACGCUCAUGCACGAAAGCGUGGGGAGCAAACAGGAUUAGAUACCCUGGUAGUCACGCCCUAAACGAUGUCAACUAGUUGUUGGGGAUUCAUUUCCUUAGUAACGUAGCUAACGCGUGAAGUUGACCGCCUGGGGAGUACGUCGCAAGAUU